GUCAGAGUUUGAUCCUGGCUCAGAUUGAACGCUGGCGGAAUGUUUUUACACAUGCAAGUCGAACGGUAGAGGGGGCAACCCCUUGAGAGUGGCGAACGGGUGAGUAAUAUAUCGGAACGUGCCCAGUCGUGGGGGAUAACGUAGUGAAAAUUACGCUAAUACCGCAUACGAUCUAAGGAUGAAAGCGGGGGAUCGCAAGACCUCGCGCGACUGGAGCGGCCGAUAUCAGAUUAGGUAGUUGGUGGGGUAAAGGCUCACCAAGCCAACGAUCUGUAGCUGGUCUGAGAGGACGACCAGCCACACUGGAACUGAGACACGGUCCAGACUCCUACGGGAGCAGCAGUGGGGAAUUUUGGACAAUGGACGCAAGUCUGAUCCAGCCAUUCCCGCGU
rnacentral:rRNA from 1 species